rnacentral:rRNA from 1 species
CCUACGGGUGGCAGCAGUGGGGAAUAUUGGACAAUGGGCGAAAGCCUGAUCCAGCCAUGCCGCGUGUGUGAAGAAGGCCUUCGGGUUGGAAAGCACUUUCAGUGGGGAAGAAAGCCUUGGGGCUAAUACCCUCGAGGAAGGACAUCACCCACAGAAGAAGCACCGGCUAACUCCGUGCCAGCAGCCGCGGUAAUACGGAGGGUGCGAGCGUUAAUCGGAAUUACUGGGCGUAAAGCGCGCGUAGGCGGUCUGAUAAGCCGGUUGUGAAAGCCCCGGGCUCAACCUGGGAACGGCAUCCGGAACUGUCAGGCUAGAGUGCAGGAGAGGAAGGUAGAAUUCCCGGUGUAGCGGUGAAAUGCGUAGAGAUCGGGAGGAAUACCAGUGGCGAAGGCGGCCUUCUGAACUGACACUGACGCUGAGGUGCGAAAGCGUGGGUAGCAAACAGGAUUAGAUACCCCUGUAGUC